GUCCACGCCGUAAACGAUGAGUGCUAGGUGUUGGGGGGUACCGACCCUCAGUGCCGAAGCUAACGCAUUAAGCACUCCGCCUGGGGAGGUACGGUCGCAAGACUGAAACUCAAAGGAAUUGACGGGGGCCCCGGCACAAGCAGUGGAGCAUGUGGUUUAAUUCGAAGCAACGCGAAGAACCUUACCAAGACUUGACAUCCCGCUGACCGCUCUAGAGAUAGAGUUUCCCUUCGGGGCAGCGGUGACAGGUAGUGCAUGGUUGUCGU
rnacentral:rRNA from 1 species